CUACAUGUGGCUUGCUAAUUUUCGUUGCAGAAAUUGUGUGUUGCGUUAACUGGGCUCUCAUUAUUUAUAAACCGGGGUCUUAUUAUUUGUAGUUUCUUGGGUUAUUACUCUGGUAGAUACGUGGCCAUCGUCUAUUUGGGUUUCACUCAAUGGUGAUCAAAGAGAAUUUGAGCUCUGGCUCCGUCACUCUUCCACUCUUUAAGCAAUCUGACCACCGCUUGUGUAACGUCUUUCAUUUUCGCCUUACAUCUCCUUUAAUCUUCGCAUUUACGUCGUACCCACUCUCUCGCAACUAAACAACCUCUUACAAACCCUCUAUCAUCUCCUCUUUUGGCUUUCCUCCAUUGAUUUUCCCAGAAAUCCAUCACUCUCGGCUUUGAUUAAGUGAAGGUCAGCAGAAAAAGGACGGGUCUAAAGACGAACGCGAGGCUUAAUCAUCAAGUUAACAAAGAAAGAAUGAUGUUAUUAAGCUUCAGAUCAAGAUCUUUGGUUGUGGCUACAAUAUCGUGUGUUCAUAUAAAGCUCACAAAACCUGCUCUUCCACAUUCCAAUCAACAAACUAAAGCCUCUUUCAAGACCUCUGAAAUCAAUCAUAACACAAAAGAUCUACAGUCUGCAGGGAAGCUCGAAGACCAUCAACCACCAUGCCUUCGCCUUCUUCAAAUAGAGUUACAAAACAGAGACAGAAAUUCUCAGAGAGUGUUCGUGGACAGAUGCAUCAUGAGGUUGUAACGAUGAGAGAUCGGCAGGAGAUUAAAGAGGGAUAUCCAAAAUUAUUGAGUUAGACAUUGAGGAUACAGAGUAAGAGAUUCACGUCUAGCAACAAGAGAGAUUUAGAAGAAUAUAGAUGAUAAGAGUCUGGCAAUGGCGAUUCUAAGCAUGAAAAUAUCACAGGAAUAGCUCCCGUUGUGAAGUCGUAUUCUUAAUAAUGCAAAUCUUCGAUGUAAUAUUAUCACAGGAAUAGCUCUCGAGAAAGGCUUGCUCAGUAUGCUUGCAGUAUGUAUAAAGAGGUCACAUGACUGUCGUCCGGAAGCGGUAGUGUAGAAUUUUGAGCAGACCGCCGACUACCUCCUACUUCAUCGCCGGGGUGCUACAGCUUCGAAGUUGUCUCUCGGUUCUCUAUUUGCUUCACAAUCCACAAAUGGUUUUAGUCAGUUGUUUGAAAUACUGAUGCCUAAUAUUUAUUUUAUUCCCAGAAUGCUUAGUUUGUUUGUAUUAAGCAGGCGAGAUUACAAGCGCUGGCCACAACAGUGAACGACGAUCGGGGAGCACCUGUUUGGUUGCAGUUCAGCAAGUUCUACUCCAAAAGAACAUCUGGAAGGGUUAGUGAUGCCUACAGAUGAGAAUGAGAACAGAGUGCUUGAUCCAAAGAAUUCACAGAAUAUUGAAGGACACACUCCUCUUUAUGCUGCAUCAGAAAAUGGGCGUUGAUAAGUUAUUCCAGAGAUGUUGAAGCAUAUGGACCUUGAAACCGCAUUAAUUUCAGCUAAGAACGGUUUUGAUCCCUUCCACAUCACAGUUAAAAAACCAUCUCGACACAUUGAAGAUCUCUUGGACAUUUCGGAUCUGGCCGUGAAAACAGAUUUGUUGUGUGCAACUGCAUUGCAUAUGGCCGCUAUACAUGCAUGUGAUGGAUUGGAAUAUGCUACGCAAAGACAUUCAAGAACUGAAACCAACUUAUCUAGCUGUAGUUCCAAGAGUAUUUGAGACCAUUCACGUAGAAAUUCAAAAGGCUAUUUAGACAUGUUACCUGAGAAUGAAACUUUUCUCCAAUGUUCUCUACAAACAAUAAGCAACUUCAUCGUUAGUAGCCUCUGUGAAUCUCUGUUCACUUUCCUUCCUUUAGAAAAGAUCUAAACGGAUUUGACUGUGUUAAUGUCUGGAAGAGGCUGGACCAUUCUUGGAUUGAUAGUUCAUUGGGUUGGAGAAGAAAUAGAUGAAGAGAGUUUAGAAUAUCACUAAUUGUAGAUGGAUAUGUUAAAUUAAUGGUACACUUGAUGAUUUCUUUUUGACAACAAAAGUUUUAUUUUUAGCA